AGAGUUUGAUCCUGGCUCAGGACGAACGCUGGCGGCGUGCCUAAUACAUGCAAGUCGAACGCUUCUUUCCUCCCGAGUGCUUGCACUCAAUUGGAAAGAGGAGUGGCGGACGGGUGAGUAACACGUGGGUAACCUACCCAUCAGAGGGGGAUAACACUUGGAAACAGGUGCUAAUACCGCAUAACAGUUUAUGCCGCAUGGCAUAAGAGUGAAAGGCGCUUUCGGGUGUCGCUGAUGGAUGGACCCGCGGUGCAUUAGCUAGUUGGUGAGGUAACGGCUCACCAAGGCCACGAUGCAUAGCCGACCUGAGAGGGUGAUCGGCCACACUGGGACUGAGACACGGCCCAGACUCCUACGGGAGGCAGCAGUAGGGAAUCUUCGGCAAUGGACGAAAGUCUGACCGAGCAACGCCGCGUGAGUGAAGAAGGUUUUCGGAUCGUAAAACUCUGUUGUUAGAGAAGAACAAGGACGUUAGUAACUGAACGUCCCCUGACGGUAUCUAACCAGAAAGCCACGGCUAACUACGUGCCAGCCGCCGCGGUAAUAC
rnacentral:rRNA from 1 species